rnacentral:rRNA from 1 species
UACAGGGGGUGCAAACGUUGCUCGGAAUCAUUGGGCGUAAAGCGCACGUAGGCGGUCUGUUAUGUCGGAUGUGAAAGCCCUUGGCUUAACUGAGGAAGUGCAUCCGAAACUGGCAGGCUAGAGUACUAAAGAGGGUCGCGGAAUUCCCGGUGUAGAGGUGAAAUUCGUAGAUAUCGGGAGGAACACCGGUGGCGAAGGCGGCGACCUGGGUAGAUACUGACGCUGAGGAGCAAAAGCGUGGGGAGCGAACAGG